rnacentral:misc_RNA from 1 species
UUCCAUACAACUCCUUAAUAAGCCGUAGCUACAGAAUAAUAGGAAAACAAGGUAAGAUAUAGUAAAUUAGAGCAUUUAGCCAAUCAAUUAGUUGAUCAUCAAGAACCUGUCAAGGCUCGGAUUUUUACAAGACAAUGUUGUGUUUUGUAAACAAGGAUCAUAUUUUUUCUGCAAGAGCAGCUCAAAUAGCAACACCCAAAUACUAAUAGCGCAUGGCUUGGACUAUUAAAAUACACGCUAACACCUUACCUGUUCCUGUCUAUCAACAAAAGCCUGCAGAAGUUCUUGAACAUAAUCUAUGAAUCUCUAGAAGGAAAUCAUUGAUUGAACAACAUUCAGAUGGGCAGCAGCGCAUAUCAGAAAAGACAAGUUAGGCAAAGAAACCUUACCAUAGCAUUGGAAGAAAGAAGAUCAUUUUCUGCUUCUCGUAUUGGCAGAAAGAAAGGAACUGUAUGUUCAAGGACAGUCAUCUUUUCAAGAAAUGACUUGCUCUCAAGCACACAAUGGUACAGUUAACAAGGUUCUACAAAAAAUAAAGCAAUAACCAAGUCAGCUUCUUUAUUGCAUAAACAAUGGAUGAUAUCUACCAAAAGGAACUCAACUCAACCCAACUAAGCCUUUAUCCCAAAAAU